UGAAUACGAGACGCUAAGGCGUCGAAGUAGUGUAUGUCAUACUUCCAAGAAAAGCUUGCACUGUCAUAGAUAAAAAACGCCUGUACCAUAACCGACACAGGUGGGUAGGUAGAGUAUACUAAGGGGCGCGAGAUAACUCUCUCUAAGGAACUCGGCAAAAUAACUCCGUAACUUCGGGAGAAGGAGUGCCUUAUUCGUAAGGUUGCAAUAACAAGAUCCAAGCAACUGUUUAUCAAAAACACAGGUCUCCGCUAAGUCGUAAGACGAUGUAUGGGGGCUGACGCCUGCCCAGUGCCAGAAGGUUAAAGAAGUUGGUUAGCAAUUGCGAAGCUGAUAACUGAAGCCCUGGUGAACGGCGGCCGUAACGAUAACGGUCCUAAGGUAGCGAAAUUCCUUGUCGGGUAAGUUCCGACCCGCACGAAAGGCGUAAUGAUUUGGAUACUGUCUCGGAGAGGGGCUCGGUGAAAUAGACUUGUCUGUGAAGAUGCGGACUACCUGCACCAGGACAGAAAGACCCUAUGAAGCUUACUGUAACUUGAAAUUGAAAUUGGACUUUAUUCGCGCAGCAUAGGUGGGAGGCGUUGAUUAUAAUCUUGCGGGAUUAUUGGAGCCAUCAGUGAGAUACCACUCUUGUAAUGUUAGAUUUCUAACUUUGAAUCAUUAUCUGGUCAAAGAACAGUUUCAGGCGUGCAGUUUGACCGGGGCGGUCGCCUCCUAAACGGUAACGGAGGCGUACAAAGGUUUCCUCUGAACGGUUAGAAAUCGUAUCUAGAGUGUAAAGGCAUAAGGAAGCUUGGCUGUGAGACCUACAAGUCGAGCAGGGACGAGAGUCGGUCUUAGUGAUCUGACGGUACUGAGUGGAAAGGCCGUCACUCAACGGAUAAAAGUUACUCUAAGGAUAACAGGCUGAUCUCCCCCAAGAGUUCACAUCGACGGGGAGGUUUGGCACCUCGAUGUCGGCUCAUCGCAUCCUGGGGCGGUAGUACGUCCCAAGGGUUGGGCUGUUCGCCCAUGAAAGCGGUACGCGAGCUGGGUUCAGAACGUCGUGAGACAGUUCGGUCCAUAUCCGGUGUAGGCGUUAGAAUAUUGAGAGGAGCCUUCUUUAGUACGAGAGGACCGAGAAGGACAUACCUCUGGUGUACCAGUUAUCGUGCCAACGGUAAACGCUGGGUAGCUAUGUAUGGAGUGGAUAACCGCUGAAAGCAUCUAAGUGGGAAGCCCACCUCAAGAUAAGUAUUCUCAC
rnacentral:rRNA from 1 species